rnacentral:rRNA from 1 species
UAGUCUACGCCGUAAACGAUGGAUACUAGUUGUUUGGCUUUCGGGCUGAGUGACUAAGCGAAAGUGAUAAGUAUCCCACCUGGGGAGUACGUUCGCAAGAAUGAAACUCAAAGGAAUUGACGGGGGCCCGCACAAGCGGUGGAGCAUGUGGUUUAAUUCGAUGAUACGCGAGGAACCUUACCAGGGCUUAAAUGUAGUAUGACAGACUGAGAGAUCGGUUUUUCUUCGGACAUAUUACAAGGUGCUGCAUGGUUGUCGUCAGCUCGUGCCGUGAGGUGUCGGGUUAAGUCCCAUAACGAGCGCAACCCCUAUUCUUAGUUGCCAGCGGAUAAUGCCGGGGACUCUAAGAAAACUGCCAGUGUAAGCUGUGAGGAAGGUGGGGAUGACGUCAAAUCAUCACGGCCCUUACGUCCUGGGCUACACACGUGCUACAAUGGUCGGUACAGAGGGCAGCUACCUAGUGAUAGGAUGCAAAUCUCUAAAGCCGGCCCUAGUUCGAAUUGGAGUCUGCAAC